rnacentral:lncRNA from 1 species
ACGACGUAGUAUUGCGAGUACUGGGGCUUGCGCCCGCAGUUUCUGUAGUGGAGGCUAAGAUGGCCCGCAUCGCCGUUUCGCACAUUGUUGGCGCGCUCCCGCAACAUGUCAUUCAUACAUUGACCUGUCUGGCCGAUCCGCAUCGUCAAGCCGUUCCGUGACCAUGGCAGACAAACGAAGUGUACAGAGCACGAGAUUUCCAGGUGCGCAUAUACUCACUGCGUAUGGCCCAGGGCUCCAUGCGGCGCAGCCCCAGCAUAGUCUUGACGAGCGCGGCCGAGCACUCGCUGGACACGUUCGGGUCGGAACCGAACUGAGUGAACACGGGCAGGCCCAUCUUGAAGGCCUGUGACACGGCCUCGGCCACUAAGGGCUCGAUGUCUUCCACGGUGGACGUCUCGGCCGACGCCGAAGGUGCUUCCGUGCUGCCGACGCCGUCAGCGUGCUGCUCCUCGUCGGCCGCGGCCAAGAAAGCGCACGCGGCGGCCAACACGACCACCACUACCAAGUACCGGGGCCGAGCCAUCGCACGAGUGUAACACACUACUGUAUUGCCCUGUGCCUCUCGAGUGACUCCUGGAGCGCCGAAAUAUCCGAGGACGCACUGCAAGCUGGCCGCCACGAGAAAGGGGCUUUUGACCGGCAAGAAAGGAGUGCACCGCCGCUCUUGCUCCUCACCCCCGCCGAAACUUCGGCUCCGCAGGGUGAAAGUGUGGAAGGAAAGACCGUAGACGUAUUUGGGGGGAUGCAUGGAGAGUGCUCCGCCUUCAGACGACCUCACACCCUCAACACCACCCUCACCGCCUAGCCCUUACCCAUCACUUCUUCCCUUAGAAGAAGAAAGAGAUAAAGGGGGACACCUGAUGCACGA